GCCUAGUUAGCUUAGUUGGUAGUGAGUGCGUCUGCCUUGUAAGCGCUAGGCCGCGGGUUCGAUUCCCGCCCGGGGCG
rnacentral:tRNA from 1 species